rnacentral:rRNA from 1 species
UAGCUACGGGAGGCAGCAGUGGGGGAUAUUGCACAAUGGAGGAAACUCUGAUGCAGCGACGCCGCGUGAGUGAAGAAGUAUUUCGGUAUGUAAAGCUCUAUCAGCAGGGAAGAUGAUGACGGUACCUGACUAAGAAGCCCCGGCUAACUACGUGCCAGCAGCCGCGGUAAUGCUA